rnacentral:lncRNA from 1 species
UUCGAGACACUAAUUUAAUUAAAGCUCUCAACAGGUCUUGCAGAUCAGCUAACUACGACGAAGCUCUCUCUUUUCUUAAGCACAUGGUUAAUAGGGGUUAUAAACCUAAUGUUAUUCUUUGCACAAAAUUGAUUAAGGGUUUUUUCAAUUCUAAGAAAAUCGAGAAAGCUAUUCAGGUUAACGACGAAGCUCUCUCUUUUCUUAAGCACAUGGUUAAUAGGGGUUAUAAACCUAAUGUUAUUCUUUGCACAAAAUUGAUUAAGGGUUUUUUCAAUUCUAAGAAAAUCGAGAAAGCUAUUCAGGUUAUGCAGAUUUUGGAAAAGCACGGCGAGCCUGAUG